AGAUGGAAUAGGGCAAUGUGCAGUGAGAUGGCGGUUGCAUCGUCGGUGGACCUUUUGGGGCAGUAUGCAAACUGAAGUGGGUCAAGGGUUGCAGGUGACCCACAAGACUGUGCUGAGUCUAGAUGAGAAAUGGACUGAGGCGGCUGCUGUCACUAUGAUAGAGAUCAUGCCCAUGUCCCUCUCAGACACCAUCAUACUCAACAGGCCCUUCCUGCUCUUCAUCCUGGAGGACUACCAAGAGCAUCAUCUUCAUGGACAAGAUCACCAACCCCACAGCCGAGUGAAAGACGGAGAGGAAGAAAUAAUGAGAGGGAGGAACAUCUGAGGAGAUUGAAGGAAGGUCUUUGUCUCUCAUGCUAGUGGUAAAACAUAAAGGAUCGGUAUCUGAUUUUUCGGUUUUCUGUAGAGCAUUCAUGUGUUGGAUGCUUUGUCUAGUUCGUUUUGUUUUGUGAAACCCUACCAGCGGUUUCCCCCUUGCUCCUGUCUGGUCUAGUUCCUGUUUUCUAGUUUCCCCCAGUUUUGACCAUUCUGCCUACCCUGACCCUGAGCCUGUCUGCUGUUCUGUAUCUUGCCACAUCAUAUUGGAUUAUUGACAUCUGCCUGCUCUGACCCCGAGACUGCCUGCCAUUCUGGACCUUUUGCACCCUAUCUGGAUUAUUGACCCCUGCCUGCUCUGACCCCGAGACUGCCUGCCAUUCUGGACCUUUUGCACCCUAUCUGGAUUAUUGACCCCUGCC
rnacentral:lncRNA from 1 species